GAUAUCAUAGCACAAUAUAUAAUAGCAAAUCUAUUUUUUGUUUUCACUGACAUCAUCAUUUUUAUAAGAAAAUAAAAGUAAAAUCGUAUGGUUAAUACUGUUGCGGUUAUAUAGUCUGAUGAACACAAUUUUAGUAUCACUUAGACGUCUGAUGUGAUCAAAAAUCGUUUCCUUUUUCUUAAAUCGUCACUUCCGAAAACACAACCUUUCGAAAUAGAAUCUUUUAUUUUAUAUAUCGUUUCUUUAUCCAAAACAUCUUCAUUCUUCUUAUUUCCAUUCAGUUUUAUGGAUUUUUGGAUUUUUUUCACUAUAGAAUAAACCCUUAUCUGAUUUCAUCACCACUAAACUUAAUUGAGUACUUGUUUCUAAGCCGCUGAUCUCAAUGUCAACUUUCCAGUGCUCUUGAUUUCCAUCUCUUCUUUAUCUUCAUCUCUUCCUCUUUGAUGAUUUCCACUCUCUUUUUCUGUCUCCCCAACACAAUGAUUAAUUAAUCUACUUUUUGUGUGGAGUUAUCAUCCAGAGAUGCCGUUAGAUAGAGAUGCCAUUAACUGAUUGCCAGAUUGUAGCUAUGCUUUGUAAAAUGAGAGUAAAUAGAUUGUAGAUUUUCUGUCCGUUUCUUAUUACUCUAAUAAUUGCACAAACACACAGUGGUUCAAAUGUCCAUUUCGUUUCCAGUUUUAGUCGGACAAAAAGAGGAGAUACAUUGAGCGAUGCGUUUACAUCUAACCGAACAGUUACGGUAUAUCGAUCGCCUUUGGGAAUAGAUUCAAUCGGUUAAGUUCCUUUUUCUUUUUCGAUAAUGUAUUAUCGACACAUGUGAGAAAAUCGGUGAGAGUGAUAUUCAAAUAGGUAGGAGAAUUUUGUCCUGGUGUAGUGACUACCUUCUCAAAUUUUCGGUAAGUCGUUUGUUUUAUCAUCAAAAUUUGACCAGUUUGUAUGAUUAUAACCUUAUAGGCAUGGGAGAUUUUUUGUAUUCAUCUGUAAUCAACAUAAUAAAAAGGCUAGGUUCUCUCCAGCAGGUGACACAUCAGCAUUUUUAAGCUCUGUGGAGAGGACAUGUCAUUAAAUGAAAAAACUCAGCUAACCAAUCAAAACAUUUGUAUCUCCACAAUCGGAAAUCAACACAAUCAGAUCGGGAGAAGUUCUCUCUCUUCCUCUUUCGAUUUAAUCACUGUCUCUCUUUCUCUUUUGCUUUGAAAUCGAACGAGGAUGGAGAAGAAGACAGCGAAGAAUACAGGUGCUGAAGAACUUCAGACCCAAUCACCACGCUCUUCUCCACCUUCUCUUCACCACUCUCCUACGGAUUCUCUUCACCACUCUCUUCUCCGGCUUCUCUUCACCACUCUCUUCUCUGGCUUCUCUUCUCCAUUUAGCUGCCGUCAAUGUCAACUUAGAGAGAUAGAGCUCAGCCAUGUUUCUCCUCCUUCCCUGUUGAUCUCUCUUCCUCCAUGUCACCUCUAUAUUGUAUUAGCGUGGAGAUUCAUUAGCAUCACCAGCCACCUCUCCUCAUCUCACCGGAGCUAUUGUCUCUCCCCGGGGAAGCCAUUUUUGUUGUGAUCCUUAUCAUUGUGGGAUCGUGACCAAAAUGAAAUGAGAAUUGAAACCGGAGCCGUCACGUUCCAUCAGGACCAGCCACCAAUCCGAGCCCCAUUAACCAUCCAUCACGGGAGAGCCGCCGUCGUGAUGUCACCACCUUUGCUUAUGGGUUUUGGUUAUGUCUUUGAGAUUUUAAUAAAAUUGUUAUCAGAUUAAGAGGGAGAUUUCGACCAUGAAACUCGUUCGUCAUCCUUGUGUUGUUCGUCUUUACGAGGUAAAGUUUUGUUCUUUCCUCUACUUUAUACUGAAAAGAUUAUAUCUAUCUUCAUAUAGAAGUUGAUUCAUUGCUGUUUAGGUUUCUAGCAGGUCGCACAAAUAUUUACAUUCUCUUGGAGUAUAAUACAUGUGGUGAACUGUUUAUAGAAUUGUGAAUUAUCUAGCUCUCGACUCAACUAUUUCAGGUGAUGAUAAUCUUUGGAAGACAUUGGUUAUCCACUUGUUACAUGUUAUAGGUUCGUAAUGAACAUAUUAGUGAAGCAAAAACUAGGAAGUACUUACACUAGCUUACCAAAGGAGUUGAUAGUAAAGGGGUCUACCACAGAGAUCUAAAGGUGGUUUCUCUUGCUGACAAUCAACAAUCUUUUCAAACAAAAUCUGGUUUUGGUUAUUUUUGUAGCCUGGAAAACUUCUGCUAGAUUCUCAAGGAAAUCUCAAGAUAUCUGAUUAUGGGCUCAGUGCAUUACCAGAACGAGUAAUGGUGGUUUCAGUUUAUUGUUUUACUUUCAUAUUGAAUUUUUAUCAACUAAUCAUCUUACUUGUAUCUUAAGGGAGUUACCAUUUUAAAGACAACUUGUGGAACUCCAAAUUAUGUUGCCUUUUAAGUAUUGAGUCAUAAGGGUUACAAUGGUGUCGUGGCAGAUGUAUGGUCAUGUGGGGUCAUCCUUUAUGUUCUGAGUCAUAACUCAUAAGAAUUACAACUGAGCCUUGUGAUGAGAACGACUCAUGUUCCAUUAUCUUAUACUAGAUUCUUUCUCUGCGCUACGCGCGGAUAAUAUAUUUAAAUUUGUUAUAUUUAUCAUUUUUAUUUGUAUGUGAAUUUUUAUAUUAAAUUAUAUAUAACUAAUUUUUAAAUUUCA